rnacentral:rRNA from 1 species
AUUGAACGCUGGCGGCAUGCCUUACACAUGCAAGUCGAACGGCAGCACGGGAGCAAUCCUGGUGGCGAGUGGCGAACGGGUGAGUAAAGUAUCGGAACGUGCCCAGUCGUGGGGGAUAACGUAGCGAAAGUUACGCUAAUACCGCAUACGAUCUACGGAUGAAAGCGGGGGAUCGCAAGACCUCGCGCGAUUGGAGCGGCUGAUAUCAGAUUAGGUAGUUGGUGGGGUAAAGGCUCACCAAGCCGACGAUCUGUAGCUGGUCUGAGAGGACGGCCAGCCACACUGGGACUGAGACACGGCCCAGACUCCUACGGGAGGCAGCAGUGGGGAAUUUUGGUCAAUGGGCGCAAGCCUGAUUCAGCCAUGCCGCGCGCAGGAUGAAGGCCUUCGGGUUGUAAACUGCUUUUGUACGGAACGAAAAGGUUUGGCCUAAUAAGCUGGACCCAUGACGGUACCGUAAGAAUAAGCACCGGCUAACUACGUGCCAGCCGCCGCGGUAA